CCAGAUUUGCUGGAUUUCCUUUGCUGUUACUGCACAUAGUUUAAACGAGACUGCCAGCACUGAGUAUCUGUCACCAUUUUUCUUUUUGUUAGUUUGCCAUCAGCCUUUUCUUUGACCUCUUCUUUCAGUCUGUGUGUACUUGCUGUCUCUUGGCCCAGACUUCUCGCUUCUUUUCUGCUGGGCCUCUGAGGGGUCAUGGGGCCGUGAUGCUGUGGCCUUGGUCUGCAGGUGUCUGACUUCCGGCAGCAGCUGCUGGCCUGUGCAGGGGUGGAAGCUGAGCGCGUGGUGGAGUUUUCUUGUGGUCACGUGAUCCCUCCAGACAACAUCCUGCCCCUUGUCAUCUGCAGUGGGAUCUCCAACCAGCCGCUGGAAUUCACCUUCCAGAAAAGAGAGCUGCCUCAGAUGGUCAGUCCCAGCCAGCUCGCCGCACCACAGCCUGGGCUCAGGCAGCAAAGGGUUUUCUGGGGCAGUGGUGCUCUGGCCCACCCUGAGUGUUUUCAGGUGUUGGGGAAAUGGCACGGGGACACCCGCUAUAGAGCCGCACAGAAUGAGCGGCGUCCAUCUAGAUGUUUAUGGAGGAAGGUCUGAGCUUCCCUGCCCCUCGCUCCUCGCCCCUUACCCCUUACCCCUUAGGCUGCGAAAUACAUAUUCUUAAAACCUCAAGGCAUCCCCUGAGGAUGCCUCACGCAGAGGAAAGCUGCUGGUUCCCUUUGGCGCUCUUGCCCUUUGGUUAUAUCUGUCCCUGCCGGGGGCAGGGAUGCAGGGCUUGGGGGG
rnacentral:sRNA from 1 species